AACUUAUUAAGAUCACAGAUAUGUUGAAGAAGUCACCUGACUGUGACAGGCUCUCUUCCCUUUAAAAAAUAUCACAGCCAUUUUCAUGUUCUUUAGCUGAGUACCUGAAUGAAAGUGAAAGACUAAGCCAAACAUUGUAGAAAAAGGAAUGACAAAAAUAAAAUAUCAGGGAGUCUUGUCCAAAUAUACAUUUUAGUAGGUAUUAGAAAUAUUCAUAACUCAAAUUCACAAAUUUAAUAUUCUAAGAAUCCCUUUAAUUUGAGCACUUGUGUAUUUCUUACUUUUGCUCUCUCAUUCCUAAUCCAUUAGCUAUGAAUCAUAUAAUACUAGAUUUCUCAAGAAUUUUUGGGUAAUGUAAAGCAAGAAGGUGCAUUGAGCUUAGGAGCAACAUUGGAGCAUAGUUUUAGAAUCAGAAGGGAGUCCAAAGGUCAUUUAGACCAAUCUAUAUUUUUUACAGAUAAGGAAAAGGAAACCCAUGGAGGCUGUCAAUAAUUACUCAAGAUACCUGAUGAAAUAGUGAGAAGUUGACAAAAAUGUUACUGAUGAGGAUGGAGCUGAAAUACACAUUGAAUGGGUAGAAUUCUGAGAUUAAGAAGGGACUCCUAGGCACAGGAAGCCUCGACCUCACUCAUGCGGAAGUCAUAAUUCCUCAGAUACUCUGCCACCACCCAGCUUUAGUCAUUCAACCGGUAAGAAACCUUGGGGGUGUCAGGCUGCUUAGUGCCAUUGUUGAUAUGUCCAGCUUAUG
rnacentral:lncRNA from 1 species